ACCUGGAAUUUCUAGUAAGCACUAGUCAUUAGCUAGUGCUGAUUACGUCCCUGCCCUUUGUACACACCGCCCGUCGCUACUACCGAUGGAUUAUUUAGUGAGGUUUCUGGAGGCUUACCUUCCGCGGUUCCUUCGUGAGCUGCAGCUGGCAUGGCUGAAGUUGACCGAACUUGAUGAUUUAGAGGAAGUAAAAGUCGUAACAAGGUUUCCGUAGGUGAACCUGCGGAAGGAUCAUUACUGAUGAUCGUCCGCGAGUGACCAACCAUGAGCUGCCUUCGGUGUAGCUCGGUCGCUCGCUUGCUAUGUGUCAGAAUUUGUUGAAAGCCAACUCGUUCGUUGUACACUUUGAUGGGUGACCAUCACUGUGUCCCCGUGCCGAGCUAGAUCUCCCCUAGCCGUAAGGCACUUGAACGCCCCUUCGACGACGAGUUGCAUGUGUGUGGUAUGUGUCAGAAUCUGGUGAAGCUUUCUGCAUGUGAUGUGCCUUGUGUGGAUCCGUGGCCAUUGCAUUGUGUCUGGUGCUUAGAUACCCAGACACUUAGAACGCUUGCGCGGAAAGCAAACUCGAUCGUUGUACACUUUGAUGGGUGACCAUCACUGUGUCUCCGUGCCGUGCUAGAUCCCCCCUAGCCGUAAGGCACUUUGAACGCCCCUUCGACGACGAGUUACAAGAGUGUGGUAUGUGUCAGAAUCUGGUGAAGCUUUCUGCAUGUGAUGUGCCUUGUGUGGAUCCGUGGCCAUUGCAUUGUGUCUGGUGUGUAGGUACCCAGACACUUAAGCAAACUCGAUCGUUGUACACUUUGAUGGGCGAGCAUCACUGUGUCUCCGUGCCGUGUAAGAGCUCCCCUGGCCAUCAGGCACUUGAAAGGUCCUUGGACGACGAGUUACAAUAGUGGUGUGUUAGAUACGUCAGAUUACGGUGUCUACUACUGUGCAAUACGUAUCCGGCUACGGCACGGAACGAACGGGAACUGUGGUGCAGACAAACAAGAGUUAAGCCUAUUAGUCAUUAACUCUAAGGACGGGGCCAUGGGGCGGUACGCAAAGGAUACGGAUGAGCGAGUAUGCAGGCCCAAUACUCAAUAGCUCGAUCCGAUCCAAGCACAUGAGUUGACUGCGGCGUCAGGUUAACCAAUGUGCUAGAUUCUAUUUGGCCAGUAGAAUCUUGUGUCUUAUGCGAUUUGAUACCAAGACACCAGAACGAAAGUUAGUUGAAGAGUUAUUAAACUCUUAUGAAGUAUGGUUGUGCAAUCACAACUUAUGACUUUAACCUAUAAAGUGGAUAUGGACUUGCAAUUAUAACAUGGAAUCUCUACACACCCCAUGAGCUCGAUCCAAUCCACGCACACGAGUUGCCUGAGUAGCGACAGGUAUACCGAUGUGCAAUACGUAUCCGGCCAUAGGCACGGAACGAACAGGAACUGUGGUGCAGACAUACAAGGGCCAUGGGGCGGUACGCAAAGGAUACGGAUGAGCGAGUAUGCAGGCCCAAUACUCAAUAGCUCGAUCCGAUCCAAGCACAUGAGUUGACUGCGGC